GAGUUCUCAACCACACCCUUUGUGGUGUGGCUUUUGGAUAUGGGGGUUCUCUUUGCAGGCUUUGUGAAAACAAGGUCGGCUCCCCUGAAAUGUAUUAGUGGUAUCUGUGUGGACUACAGGUGUGAUAAAUCAAUCUAUGCCUUGUCUCUCACUAUGGCACUGCUUCUAAAGAGUUGGAAACAACGAUUGACAA
rnacentral:misc_RNA from 1 species